UACGUAGGGUGCAGGCGUUAAUCGGAAUUACUGGGCGUAAAGGGCGCGUAGGCGGCGGCGUGAGUCCCGCGUGAAAUCUCCCGGCUCAACCGGGAGGGUGCGCGGGAUACUGCGCGGCUGGAGGGCAUCAGAGGAGGGCGGAACCCCCGGUGUAGUGGUGAAAUGCGUAGAUAUCGGGGAGAACACCAGUGGCGAAGGCGGCCCUCUGGGGUGUACCUGACGCUGAGGCGCGAAAGCGUGGGGAGCGAACCGG
rnacentral:rRNA from 1 species